rnacentral:rRNA from 1 species
CCUUAGAGUUUGAUCCUGGCUCAGGAUGAACGCUAGCUACAGGCUUAACACAUGCAAGUCGAGGGGCAGCAUGUCGGUUGCUUGCAACCGAUGAUGGCGACCGGCGCACGGGUGAGUAACGCGUAUCCAACCUACCCUUGUCCAUCGGAUAACCCGUCGAAAGGCGGCCUAACACGAUAUGCGGUUCACCGCAGGCAUCUAACGUGAACGAAAUGUGAAGGAGAAGGAUGGGGAUGCGUCUGAUUAGCUUGUUGGCGGGGUAACGGCCCACCAAGGCGACGAUCAGUAGGGGUUCUGAGAGGAAGGUCCCCCACAUUGGAACUGAGACACGGUCCAAACUCCUACGGGAGGCAGCAGUGAGGAAUAUUGGUCAAUGGGCGAGAGCCUGAACCAGCCAAGUAGCGUGCAGGAUGACGGCCCUAUGGGUUGUAAACUGCUUUUAUAAGGGAAUAAAGUGAGUCUCGUGAGACUUUUUGCAUGUACCUUAUGAAUAAGGACCGGCUAAUUCCGUGCCAGCAGCCGCGGUAAUACGGAAGGUCCGGGCGUUAUCCGGAUUUAUUGGGUUUAAAGGGAGCGUAGGCCGGAGAUUAAGCGUGUUGUGAAAUGUAGACGCUCAACGUCUGCACUGCAGCGCGAACUGGUUUCCUUGAGUACGCACAAAGUGGGCGGAAUUCGUGGUGUAGCGGUGAAAUGCUUAGAUAUCACGAAGAACUCCGAUUGCGAAGGCAGCUCACUGGAGCGCAACUGACGCUGAAGCUCGAAAGUGCGGGUAUCGAACAGGAUUAGAUACCCUGGUAGUCCGCACGGUAAACGAUGGAUGCCCGCUGUUGGUCUGAAUAGGUCAGCGGCCAAGCGAAAGCAUUAAGCAUCCCACCUGGGGAGUACGCCGGCAACGGUGAAACUCAAAGGAAUUGACGAAGGGCGAAUUCCA